GAUGAACGCUAGCGGCGGGCCUAAUACAUGCAAGUUGAACGAGAUUGUUGGUAGCAAUACUGACAUGAAAGUGGCGCACGGGUGCGUAACACGUAUGUAACCUACCUUUAACUGGGGCAUAGCUUCGAGAAAUCGAAAUUAAUACCCCAUAACAUUUAGAAAAGGCAUCUUUUCUUUAUCAAAGUUCCGGCGGUUAAAGAUGGACAUGCGGUGCAUUAGCUUGUUGGUGAGGUAACGGCUCACCAAGGCUACGAUGCAUAGGGGGUCUGAGAGGAUGAUCCCCCACACUGGUACUGAGACACGGACCAGACUCCUACGGGAGGCAGCAGUAGGGAAUAUUGGGCAAUGGACGAAAGUCUGACCCAGCCACGCCGCGUGAAGGAUGACUGCCCUAUGGGUUGUAAACUUCUUUUGAAUGGGGAAGAAAAUUCCGAAACGUGUUACGGAGCUGACGGUACCAUAAGAAUAAGCAUCGGCUAACUCCGUAGCCAGCAGCCG
rnacentral:rRNA from 1 species